AUGCUCACUCUGACAGCACAUAGACUAAAAUGGGAAUGAUACAGAGAAGAUUAGCAUGGCCCCUGAGCAA
rnacentral:snRNA from 1 species